rnacentral:rRNA from 1 species
GAUUCCUACGGGAGGCAGCAGUAGGGAAUCUUCCGCAAUGGGCGAAAGCCUGACGGAGCAACGCCGCGUGAGUGAUGAAGGUUUUCGGAUCGUAAAGCUCUGUUGCCAGGGAAGAACGCUCAGGAGAGUAACUGCUCCUGAGGUGACGGUACCUGAGAAGAAAGCCCCGGCUAACUACGUGCCAGCAGCCGCGGUAAUAAU